AGUGAACGCUGGCGGUAGGCCUAACACAUGCAAGUCGAGCGGCAGCACAGUAAGAGCUUGCUCUUACGGGUGGCGAGUGGCGUACGGGUGAGGAAUACAUCGGACUCUACUUUUUCGUGGGGGAUCACGUAGGUAAACUUACUCUAAUACCGCAUACGCCCUACGGGUGAAAGCAGUGGAUCUUCGGACCUUGCGCGAUUGAAUGCGCCGAUGUCGGAUUAGCUAGUUGGCGGGGUAAAGGCCCACCAAGGCGACGAUCCGUAGCUGGUCUGAGAGGAUGAUCAGCGACACUGGAACUGAGACACGGUCCAGACUACUAAGGGAGGCAGCAGUGGGGAAUAUGGGACAAUGGGCGGAAGCCUGAUCCAGCCAUACCGCGUGGGUGAAGAAGGCCUUCGGGUUGUAAAGCCCUUUUGUUGGGAAAGAAAAGCAGCAGGUUAAGACCACGCUGUUCUGACGGUACCGAAAGAAUAAGCACCGGCUAACUUCGUG
rnacentral:rRNA from 1 species